GACGAACGCUGGCGGCGUGCCUAAUACAUGCAAGUAGAACGCACAGUUUAUACCGUAGCUUGCUACACCAUAGACUGUGAGUUGCGAACGGGUGAGUAAUGCGUAGGUAACCUGCCUGGUAGCGGGGGCUGAGGAAUGACAACGAGAGCUAAUACCGAAUAAUAUUGAAUAUUGCAGGAUCACAUGAUGAAAGGUGAUAAUCCACCACUACAAGAUGGGCAUGCGUUUUGUUAGCUAGUGGGGGAGAUAACGGGUCACCCCGGCGACGAUACAUAUCCGACCUGCAAGGGUGAUCGGCAUCACUGAGACUGGAGCACGGCCCGGAAUCCUGCGAGAGGCAGCAGUAGCGAACUCUCGGCGAUGGACGAAAGUGUGAACGAGCCACGCCGCGUGAGUGAAGAAGGUUGUCGGACCGUAAAGCUCAGUUGUAAGAGAAGAAUGGAUGGGAGAGUGGAAAGUUCACAUUGUGACGGUACCUGACCAGAAAGGGACGGCUAACUACGUG
rnacentral:rRNA from 1 species